CCUACGGGUGGCAGCAGUAGGGAAUCUUCCACAAUGGACGAAAGUCUGAUGGAGCAACGCCGCGUGGGUGAAGAAGGGUUUCGGCUCGUAAAGCCCUGUUGGUAGAGAAGAAAGAUCGAGAUAGUAACUGGCCUUUAUUUGACGGUAAUUACUUAGAAAGUCACGGCUAACUACGUGCCAGCAGCCGCGGUAAUACGUAGGUGGCAAGCGUUGUCCGGAUUUAUUGGGCGUAAAGCGAGUGCAGGCGGUCCAAUAAGUCUGAUGUGAAAGCCUUCGGCUCAACCGGAGUAGUGCAUCAGAAACUGUGGAACUUGAGUGCAGAAGAGGAGAGUGGAACUCCAUGUGUAGCGGUGGAAUGCGUAGAUAUAUGGAAGAACACCAGUGGCGAAGGCGGCUCUCUGGUCUGUAACUGACGCUGAGGUUCGAAAGCAUGGGUAGCGAACAGGAUUAGAUACCCUUGUAGUC
rnacentral:rRNA from 1 species